AUGAGAAGGCCUUCGGGUUUGGGUAAAGCUCUUUUCGGUCNANGGGAAGAACACCGGCUCUAACACAUNGUCCGGNNGAAUGACGGUACCNNUGAAGAUAAGCACCGGCUAACUAACGCCUGCCAGCAGCCGCGGUAAUACGUAGGGUGCGAGCGUUAAUCGGAAUUACUGGGCGUAAAGCGUGCGCAGGCGGUUAUACAAGACAGGCGUGAAAUCCCCGGGCUUAACCUGGGAAUGGCGUCUGUGACUGUAUAGCUAGAGUGUGUCAGAGGGGGGUGGAAUUCCACGUGUAGCAGUGAAAUGCGUAGAUAUGUGGAGGAACACCAAUGGCGAAGGCAGCCCCCUGGGAUAACACUGACGCUCAUGCACGAAAGCGUGGGGAGCAAACAGGAUUAGAUACCCUGGUAG
rnacentral:rRNA from 1 species